UACAUGGGGUGCAAACGUUGCUCGGAAUCAUUGGGCGUAAAGCGCACGUAGGCGGUUCGUUAUGUCGGAUGUGAAAGCCCUCGGCUUAACCGGGGAAGUGCAUCCGAAACUGGCGAGCUUGAGUACUAAAGAGGGUCGCGGAAUUCCCGGUGUAGAGGUGAAAUUCGUAGAUAUCGGGAGGAACAUCAGUGGCGAAGGCGGCCUUCUGGUCCAGUACUGACACUCAAGUGCGAAAGCGUGGGGAGCAAACAGG
rnacentral:rRNA from 1 species